GAGAAAAUUCGCAAGGAUUGCUAACCCAUGCCUCCAUAUUUAAAACUAUGGCUUUCUCA
rnacentral:tRNA from 1 species